CGCCCUGAGUCAGGUGGUUCGGUCCCUGUUUGUUUUUUCACCUGGAGUGCUGGGGGUGUGUUCAGUAGGGCAAGGGGCGUGGCAGAGUCUUCACUACAGAGCCAUUCUUCGCAGCUGCACCUCAUCCACAUGAUUCACUCCAGCAAUAUUUAAACCCGGGCUGAUCACCUCUUCGGCGCCAGUUCGUUAUCUACUACCCAUGUGACCUGCUGCUUCCUCUGCUGCGCCUACCAGCUCCUGGCCUCACCACCCAGCCUUCGCCGUCAGCUCUCCCCCAGCUUCGGACCUGCCUACACAGUUUUCUCGGAGUACCCUGGCUCUCCAUUAAAACCUUUUUUUGAACCUA